CAGUAGCCGCGGUAAAACGUAGGUGACAAGCGUUGUUCGGAAUUACUGGGCGUAAAGCGCACGUAGGCGGCUACUCAAGUCGGGGGUGAAAGCCCGGGGCUCAACCCCGGAACUGCCCUCGAAACUAGGUAGCUAGAAUCUUGGAGAGGUCAGUGGAAUUCCGAGUGUAGAGGUGAAAUUCGUAGAUACUCGCAAGAACACCAGUGGCGAAGGCGGCUCACUGGCCCGAUACUGACGCUGAGGUGCGAAAGCGUGGGGAGCAAACAGGAUUAGAUACCCGAGUAGUCCCUGUCUCUUAUAA
rnacentral:rRNA from 1 species